rnacentral:lncRNA from 1 species
CACGAAACGAGGCUGCGUCCGCCGGCCGUGGAGCUGUCAGAGAGCUCCAAACCGCCGCGGCCGGCCGCCGAGUCCGCAUGCGCAGGCCGCGAAGGCCUUUUUGGGUCGGUCCCCGCGCGCUAGGACAGCCUAGAGGAGGAUUUCUGCCAGGCGGCGUCUUCCGGUGUGCUGUUCCGAGAGGCGAGCGAGGCCGCCGUGGCCGAAUGAGGAGGCCAAAGCUGGUCCCAGGAAGGCUGAGGGGAGCUUUAAAGCGCCUAGAAGGGAGGUGUCGGAAAGGACCGGGGAGCACGACGAGUCACAGAGCCUGCUACCCCGCGCUGCGCGUCUGGGAACAAACACGGGCUGAACCGGAGAGUGCGCGGGAAACGGUCGGGAGAAGCUGGGCUGGGUGAAGUAGGAGGAGCUGAUGGAGCCCGAAGCGCUGCAGGGCCUACUAGAGAGAAGGGCUUUAGUGACCCGUGGCAGUCACCUGGAUUGAGGACUUGAUUGUAGGAACUACAGCACCCGUCUGCUACCACAAGGAGGCUCCGCCAUCUACCACCCCUGACUGGAAUUUUCAACCUGUUGGCGAUCUUAAAUUAAAGUCAUCAAAACUUGCCCAGAAACAGCAAUCACCUGAAUGAGAAGCAGACAACAUUUGACGUAGACUGCGAAUCCCAAGACACAGGACCAGCACUGUUCACAAUAGCCAAGAUAUGGAAACAAUCCAAGUGCCCAUCGACUGAUGAUUGGAUAAAGAAGAUGUGGUGUAUAUAUACAAUGUGAUACUACUCAGCCAUAAAAAAGAUAAAUUCAUCCCAUUUGCAACAAUAUGGAAGGACCUGGAGGGAAUUAUGCUAAGUGAAAUAAGCCAGACUGAGAAAGACAACCUCCAGAUGAUUUCACUCAUGUGUGGAAUAUGAACAAACACAAGGACAAAGAAAAC